rnacentral:rRNA from 1 species
CCUACGGGAGGCAGCAGUGGGGAAUUUUGCACAAUGGGGGAAACCCUGAUGCAGCGACGCCGCGUGAGGGAAGCAGGUUUUCGGAUUGUAAACUUCUGUCUUUGGUGACGAAAGAUGACGGUAGCCAAAGAGGAAGCUACGGCUAAUUACGUGCCAGCAGCCGCGGUAAUACGUAGGUGGCAGGCGUUGACGGGAAUUACUGGGUGAAAAGGGAGCGUAGGGGGGAAGACAAGUUGAAUGUUUAGACUAUCGGCUAAACCGAUAAUCGCGUUCAAAACUGUUAUUCUUGAGUGAAGUAGAGGCAGGCGGAAUUCCUGGUGUAGCGGUGAAAUGCGUAGAUAUUAGGAGGAACACCGGUGGCGAAGGCGGCCUGCUGGGCUUUAACUGACGCUGAGGCUCGAAAGCGUGGGUAGCAAACAGGAUUAGAUACCCUUGUAGUC